UACGGAGGGUGCAAACGUUGCUCGGAAUCAUUGGGCGUAAAGCGCACGUAGGCGGCCUGUUAAGUCGGAUGUGAAAGCCCCGGGCUCAACCCGGGAAGUGCAUUCGAAACUGGCGGGCUUGAAUAUGGAAGAGGGUCGCGGAAUUCCCGGUGUAGAGGUGAAAUUCGUAGAUAUUGGGAAGAACACCGGUGGCGAAGGCGGCGCUCUGGACCGAGACUGACGCUGAGGCGCGAAAGCGUGGGGAGCAAACAGG
rnacentral:rRNA from 1 species